GGGUGGUAAUGCCGGAUGCUCCAGUUGAUCGCAUGGUCUUCUGGGAAAGCUUUCGCGGUAUGGGAUGGGGUCGCGUCCUAUCAGCUUGACGGCGGGGUAACGGCCCACCGUGGCUUCGACGGGUAGCCGGCCUGAGAGGGCGACCGGCCACAUUGGGACUGAGAUACGGCCCAGACUCCUACGGGAGGCAGCAGUGGGGAGUAUUGCACAAUGGGCGCAAGCCUGAUGCAGCGACGCCGCGUGAGGGAUGGAGGCCUUCGGGUUGUAAACCUCUUUUAUCGGGGAGCAAGCGAGAGUGAGUUUACCCGUUGAAUAAGCACCGGCUAACUACGUGCCAGCAGCCGCGGUAAUACGUAGGGUGCAAGCGUAAUCCGGAAUUAUUGGGCGUAAAGGGCUCGUAGGCGGUUCGUCGCGUCCGGUGUGAAAGUCCAUCGCUUAACGGUGGAUCCGCGCCGGGUACGGGCGGGCUUGAGUGCGGUAGGGGAGACUGGAAUUCCCGGUGUAACGGUGG
rnacentral:rRNA from 1 species